rnacentral:sRNA from 1 species
UGCAAUCAUCAAAGCUGGCAUCUUAUGCCCUCCAAACCGCACAACAUCCGAAAUUCCACUCCCAUCUUCAUGGGGCAAAAAGGAAAAAAAGAAAGAAAAAACCAUUCACCUGCACUACAUAUAUCGCGCUGGUGAUGAGCAUGGUUCAUUAUCUCUCAUAACAAUCUGGUUAAGGUCAAACUUCACGAUGUCAGCAGGGUAACAGCGAGGCGGGCGUUCCGGGAAAAGCGAAAGGGCCCGCUAAAUCCAGUUACUAGUCAUUAGCGAGGGAGUUAUCAGGGAUUGGCCCCCUCCAUGAUCUCUCUGGUCAGUUUGGAAAAUGGCUGUUUUUAACUACAUGCAUAAAAUCG